rnacentral:rRNA from 1 species
UACAGAGGUCCCGAGCGUUGUUCGGAGUUACUGGGCGUAAAGGGUGUGUAGGCGGUUUUCUAAGUUUGGUGUGAAAUCUCCCGGCUCAACCGGGAGGGUGCGCCGAAAACUGGGAGACUAGAGUGCGGGAUGGGAGAGUAGAAUUCCUGGUGUAGCGGUGAAAUGCGUAGAUAUCAGGAGGAAUACCGGUGGUGUAGACGGCUCUCUGGACCGCCACUGACGCUGAGACACGAAAGCGUGGGUAGCAAACAGG